CGACCGGCGCACGGGUGAGUAACGCGUAUGCAACCUGCCCGUUUCAGCGGGAUAACCCGGAGAAAUCCGGCCUAAUACCGCAUGUGGCCGAGGGGAGGCAUCUUCUUUCGGCCAAAAGGAGGCGACUCCGGAGACGGAUGGGCAUGCGUGACAUUAGCUUGUUGGCGGGGUAACGGCCCACCAAGGCGACGAUGUCUAGGGGUUCGUGAGAGGAAGGUCCCCCACACUGGUACUGAGACACGGACCAGACUCCUACGGGAGGCAGCAG
rnacentral:rRNA from 1 species